rnacentral:rRNA from 1 species
CGCGUAGGUGGCGAGAUAAGCGUGUGGUGAAAGCCCGGGGCUCAACCCCGUGUCUGCCAUGCGGACUGUCUUGCUCGAGCGUAGUAGAGGCAGGUGGAAUUCCGGGUGUAGCGGUGGAAUGCGUAGAGAUCCGGAAGAACACCGGUGGCGAAGGCGGCCUGCUGGGCUACUGCUGACACUGAUGCGCGACAGCGUGGGGAGCAAACAGGAUUAGAUACCCUGGUAGUCCACGCCGUAAACGAUGGGUACUAGGUGUCUGGGGGGAGCGACCCCCUGGGUGCCGGCGCUAACGCAUGAAGUACCCCGCCUGGGGAGUACGGCCGCAAGGCUGAA